rnacentral:rRNA from 1 species
AUGAACGCUGGCGGCGUGCCUAAUACAUGCAAGUCGAGCGAACAGACGAGGAGCUUGCUCCUCUGACGUUAGCGGCGGACGGGUGAGUAACACGUGGAUAACCUACCUAUAAGACUGGGAUAACUUCGGGAAACCGGAGCUAUACCGGAUAAUAUAUUGAACCGCAUGGUUCAAUAGUGAAAGACGGUUUUGCUGUCACUUAUAGAUGGAUCCGCGCCGCAUUAGCUAGUUGGUAAGGUAACGGCUUACCAAGGCAACGAUGCGUAGCCGACCUGAGAGGGUGAUCGGCCACACUGGAACUGAGACACGGUCCAGACUCCUACGGGAGGCAGCAGUAGGGAAUCUUCCGCAAUGGGCGAAAGCCUGACGGAGCAACGCCGCGUGAGUGAUGAAGGUCUUCGGAUCGUAAAACUCUGUUAUUAGGGAAGAACAAAUGUGUAAGUAACUAUGCACGUCUUGACGGUACCUAAUCAGAAAGCCACGGCUAACUACGUG